rnacentral:misc_RNA from 1 species
GAAGAGGGCAUUGAAGCUUCUGUUUGUUAUGGUGAUAUGGAUCACGAUGCUCGCAAAAUUCAUGUUUCUAGAUUUAGAGCAAGAAAAACCAUGGUGCUCAUUGUGACGGAUGUGGCUGCUAGAGGAAUUGAUAUUCCACUGCUUGAUAAUGUUAUCAACUUUGAUUUUCCUACCAAACCUAAACUUUUUGUUCAUCGAGUUGGGCGA